CCUCCGAUGACCAUUUGACAAACUCAUCCGUAGGCUCUGUCGCGUUCGUGCUUCUCCCUCAACGAAGGUCGCAACUCCUCCUCUCAAAGAUUUGUGACCUCCGACGACCAUUCAAGCCACUCCUCUGCAUCUACUCUGAUUCGUCCCUGCUUCUCCCUCAACAAAUGUCGCGAUUUACUUAGUCUUGAAGAUUUGUGACCUUCGACGACCAUUCCAGCCACUGAACUUCAUCUGCUCCACCUCAUCCUUGCUUCUCCCUCAAUGUAGGUCGCGGUUUGCUUAUCUCGAAGUUAUGCACUCUCUCACCCUCUCUCAACUAUUCUUCCUCUACUUCUUAUCUCUGUAUUCUGCUUGAUGUUAGCCGAUUCAUGAUUCUUGGGGUUUUUUUUUCUCUAAGAUUUGUGAUCUUCAAAGACCAUUCGAGCCCCUCAACUGCAUAUGCUCCGCCUCGUCCUUGCUUCUCCCUCAACGAAAGUCGCGAUUUGCUUAGUCAAAUAUCUCAUCCACAACCCUAGAACUUAAAUUCAAGAUCGAGUGGAGAGGAAUCUAGGGUCUCCAACUUGACCUCACCGUGUUCCUUCUCAUCAUUUUCUGACCCUCUCCUACAGAGGACAUGGCAUUGGAAAACCAAUCCCAGUCAAAGAGAGGACAAAACUGUUCAUGGCCAAAUGACGUAUCACAAUUUCUGCUCCAAUGUUUAUUGGAUUACUAUCAAAAGGGAAAGACUAGUGACAAUGGCCUUAGGAAAGACCAAUGGCAAUCUAUUAUCAAAUGC